AAGCAAACUUCUAUAUACACACCAUGGUUCAUACACACCAUUACAUAGUUCAGUACAACCUCAACUGAAGAGAAAACUAUUGAUAAGAUGAUACUACUCAUCAGAGGCUUUCCUAGCUUCCUAUACAUUAUUUAUCUAUGCCUCCGGAACUCAUCUCACGACAUAGUGAUACUCCAGAAGACACCCAUGACUUUGGAAGUACAACUACUACCAUACUACUCUUCCACUCACGGUUCAAGAAUCCGCAUGAAACAUCUCAUAAAGAUUGCCUCCAUGGCCAGCAAGCUGAACCUGUGGAUCAGAAAAAUACUCUAGCCUCAGACCCAUGGGAACCGUAAGGACAUGGGUGUGGCCUUGGUCCCCUGACUGGUGGUAGUAGAGGUCCUGAAGAGGGGUGACACAUCCUAUAGCAGGCCAGUCA
rnacentral:lncRNA from 1 species